GAAACAACAGUUGGGAUCAGUUAUGUGUCAUAAGUGUUAAAAACAAUUCAUAUUACUCUGUGAAAACGUCACAGAAGAGAGCAACUGACUGCUGACCAACAUGAACUCUCCCAAAUUAACGGUAACUUUUUGUCCAAUUAGCAACACCUGUCGCACUCAGGCAUACUGGGAUACUCACUACAUGAACCUGUCGCUCCCCCCCAAGAGCUCAACAUGCUUGAGAUCCAAAGCAGCUGCUACAGGUGAAAGGGAUGUCAAAGAAAUUUGGAAGGUAUAAGGACAUCAGGUGAGACUGAUGGUGAUGCUACAAGGUGACCACUUCAUGGGAAAGCCAGCUGAAGGAAGAAAAAGUUAUUCCAUGACUGAGGUGACAGUGCAGAGAUGCCGAGGUGCAGAAGACCCAGAAAUGCUGACCAAUUGGAGCAGACUGGACUUGGUGUUCGUGCACAGAAAGCUUGGAGAAGGCCGCCCCCUGCCGCCACUGAGGACAACUACACUAAUACAGACAAGAGCGCCUCAACAGUUACACACUCAAGAGUUGGGGUUUUGCCGUAUGCAACUAGCUACCGUCUCCAACGCUUGUGCAAAACAGAAAAGAAAACUGGCAAGUCAGGAGCCGGACACAAGGGUGAACGGUGUGCCGAGAGCCGGAGAGACCCGGGACGAUGGAAAGAGGAAGGAGGAUCGGAUCACCUCGCCCACAGAGCCUCUCACCUCGACACACUGAGGUCAGAAAAAAUCACACAGGUUUGUUAAAGUUCCAGUCACAAUAAUUUUUUUUUUUGUCCUAGAAGUGGUUGUCUUUUACAUCGUCCUUUUUUUGUCAGUUCCUCAGUGGCACUUUACAAAUACAUUUUUGACCGUUUUGAAAAUUUCAAGCUCCUUUGGUUUUUGGCUGACCGACUAAGUCCAUCUUGUUUGAUUUCUCCACACAAAAGUCUUUAAAUAAGAACAUCCUGGGAAAGAAGUGCUACUCUCACAACAGGGCCCCUUCAGGGAGCAGUCAGCCGUCUCUGGCUACACUGUAUUGAAUCGUUCUUCUUCUUUUAAAAUGUUCAAGCAGUUUCUUACCCAGUACAUUUCAGUCAGCUUUUCCCUUUACCUCCUCCAGGGUUGGCGUAGAUAUCUGGGCAGUCAGGAUCUUGUGCAACUGCUGAUUGUGUGUGUAUCUGUGCAUGUAUGUGUGUGUGCUUUGAUAGACUGUCGCACUGGCGACACAAGAUUGGAAGUGGCGUGAGCCAGACAAAGACUGCUUCUGGUGUUUGGAUUAGCAGUCAAAACACUGUCUUCCAGGGUUGGUUGUGUGCUUCUUACAGAGGAUCCAACUUGGGUCGGGGGGCCUCCAGGGUUUUGUCUAAUAGGUUAAUUUUGCAGUAGCCACAUAAGCCAGAUGGAAGCAGAAAUCAUGAGCGUUUUCUUUGAAGUAAAUGUAUGCUGGGCGGGAAACAAUGUGCGAAUGUUGCAAAGGGUUAUAGAUCGGGGAUGCUCUGGUUUGUAAAGUUUUAGUUUCAGUCACAUUUCGAUAAAGGAAAAGUUCAGAGAAGCACUAAUCCUUCCCUACCCCCCAUCAGUCUUUUUCUUAAAUACAACUCCAGCUACAUUGAAAGAACACAAGAACAUUCUAGGUUUGCCUGGACUCGCCCCAAAUUUCGCAGAUAUGUAUGCUUCGCUUGUAGGUACAGUGUAAACUUGGCAAACCAUCCUUGCAUUAAUUUUUCUUCAGAGGUGUUCAUUUGGCUUGCAGUCAUCAUUGUUGAUGUUUCCUCUUGAUUCCAUACAUUGAAUAUAGAACUACAAUAAACUGGACUCUAGAGAUGGUUUUACUUUAACUAUCCUAUUUUUGAAAAAAGUUCUCAACAAAAUGGACACCCAACAUUGUGGUUUUUAAAGAAUUACCUAUCAGUGUAAAUUCUUGAAGGCAACAUAAAAAUGUUUUUCCCCUCUUGUCUUCCAGCAGGGGGACUGAAGUAUGCCAAUAUGGCCAGCUUUCAAGCAAUCGCCCCUUGAAGCUCUCCCUGUGGUGAAGCUGAGGGAUCCCCCGCAUUGCACUGUGGGAAAUGCCGACCUCAGCCCCGAACCACCCUUCCGAUAUCUUCAGGUAAACUAGUCUAUGCAGCAGAGUGGAUGAGGAAAAGAAAAAUAUUUCUCAGGGAAGAGGAAGCAGAAAAAAGGUCAAGGAAGAAGUCAUCAUCUUUGAAAGGCGGAGGGAGGAAGUCACAUGAUGAAAAAGAUGGGGACAGGUCUUCGCUCAGGCACGGCUCGGUUUCUGAUGGGGUCUUUUCCCAGUGCGCCCUGGGAAGUGCGGUCCUCAGCUCUCCAGACUCAUGAAGGCCACAACCUGCUCCAGCUUGAAGGCCAGCCUCUGUUUCCGGGCUGCAUCGUCCUGCUCCAGUGAACACACAAUCUGCCAGCAGGACAGUGAGCUGCAGCCGCUCGAGGACGGACCCGGUGUUUGGCUGGAUAAUUCUGGGCAUGUGUGAGGAAGACGGAUCUGCCAGGAUGCAAGUCUACAGAGCAAACUGAGCAAAGGAAAAGGCAGAGAAGCACUGAAGAGGCAGAAGAGAUUUCAGCAGAGAUCUUUACAAAUAAACUGUGGCGUGAAGGUUAGAGAGAAGAAGACAUCUCGUCUGUACAUCUGUGUUCACUUCCUUUUGCAGUCUUCUUCUAUAGCUGCGGCAUUCUGCUUUUUAAAUCCUCUCCCUGGCAUGACCCUUACUUUGGCAUGGUUGGACAGCAGAGUGAAGCAGCACUAGAUCCACCCUUACUCAGUCACUACUAUAUUACUGAGGCUUUUCCGACUGAAUAACGCCGCUACGCUGCGGGGUGUUCACUGAUGACAGUAUUGCUCCACUACACUCAUGAGGAAGGCAUCAUUUAUAUACCAGAGAGUACAGUGGGAUAUUUCUUUUUACAUCUAUUAACACAAGUAUGCAUAUUUGGUCUGUGACAACACACAAAUCUGCUUUAAAAAACAGCCACAUACAGGCUAAAAAGACUGCUCAUGCUGCUCCCUACAGCAGCAGCUUCUGUAUUCUCCAUCCACACCGACCAUUUUUCAGCUUACAGUAUCCAAACAUAUCCAUGUAUGACUCAGCAGAGGCCCCUCACACUUUCCUCACGCUUAUUUGUGUUUUUGGGAUACCACAGACACAAGCACACACUGCAGAUACACACAGGACUAAUGAGUACGGUCCUGAGCCUGAAGCCCCUCAUUUGGUUCCACCCGUUCAAACAGCACACAUAUAUUCUUGUCCUGAGGCUCGCCUUGUGACGAAGCUGCCGACACAUGAAUACUCUGAAGCGCUCCACACUACCCCAUCUUUUAUUCAGGACUUCUUCGCCUCCCCUGCUGACAAAUAAAUUUAAUAAAACUCUCAUUUUAACAAAUUACCAGCUUCUACUGCCUGCUAUUCUCAAAAAUGUUUUCUCCCUCUCUCUCUUUUUCCCCCCUCACACACUUCUGCACCCUCCCAACACAGCAACUCCUCUGUACUGUAGAUCUCAUGCCUUGGGCGUUCCCAUCCAUUCCCACUGUGUUGUAAUUUGGAUUGUGUUUCAUGGCCCAUAGAUCACACUGCUACAGUCGCACUGUGUGUGUGUGUGUGUGUGUGUGUGUGUGUGUUGAAAUGAAACAUAGCUAAUGCAGCUUUUCUGAUGUUGGAAUGAAACAUAGGAGC